AUACGGAGGAUCCGAGCGUUAUCCGGAUUUAUUGGGUUUAAAGGGAGCGUUGGCGGACGCUUAAGUCAGUUGUGAAAGUUUGCGGCUCAACCGUAAAAUUGCAGUUGAUACUGGGUGUCUUGAGUACAGUAGAGGCAGGCGGAAUUUGUGGUGUAGCGGUGAAAUGCUAGAUAUCACGAAGAACUCCGAUUGCGAAGGCAGCCUGCUGGACUGUAACUGACGCUGAUGCUCGAAAGUGUGGGUAUCAAACAGGAUUAGAUACCCUGGUAGUCCACACAGUAAACGAUGAAUACUCGCUGUUUGCGAUAUACAGUAAGCGGCCAAGCGAAAGCGUUAAGUAUUCCACCUGGGGAGUACGCCGGCAACGGUGAAACUCAAAGGAAUUGACGGGG
rnacentral:rRNA from 1 species